ensembl:lncRNA
AUGCUAGGCUCACUGUGGAAGGUCAUGCCUGCAUACAGAGGCACCUUAACUGAAAUCUCAGAGCAAGUUUUUACUAAUUCAACUCUGAAUCAGCAGCCAAGCUCUUGUGCUCAGUGUGAUCUGACUCUUUUGACAUGCCUACUUAUCGGAUCUUGUCACUUUUGUAUUAUUCCUUUGUUGUUUGCCUUUUAUGGGAAGCCUAAGACUCAGUUGUGGAGAAACCAUUCUGAGCCCUCUGUGGGAACCUUGAGUAAACCACCUCCUAACAGGACCACAUUGUUAAGGACCAAGCUGCAAUAUCCACCUACCAGGAGUGUAUCAUCAGGAGCAGGAUGCAAAAACACAUCUUCACCAGGUUCAGCGAGGUCUUCAAGCAGUCCUCUGAAAACCCCUACUACAGCCCGACCCAUGAGACCUGCUGUGACUCCAACAGGUAAGAUCCAGUUUAUUAAAUUUGAAGUGAAGCAUACAGUUAUCACAGACAAUUUUGUUGUUUAA